GACGAACGCUGGCGGCGUGCUUAACACAUGCAAGUCGAACGGAAAGACCCUGCUUUUGUGGGGUGCUCGAGUGGCGAACGGGUGAGUAACACGUGAGUAACCUGCCCUUGACUUUGGGAUAACUUCAGGAAACUGGGGCUAAUACCGGAUAGGAGCUCCUGCUGCAUGGUGGGGGUUGGAAAGUUUCGGCCGUUGGGGAUGGACUCGCGGCUUAUCAGCUUGUUGGUGGGGUAGUGGCUUACCAAGGCUUUGACGGGUAGCCGGCCUGAGAGGGUGACCGGCCACAUUGGGACUGAGAUACGGCCCAGACUCCUACGGGAGGCAGCAGUGGGGAAUAUUGCACAAUGGGCGGAAGCCUGAUGCAGCAACGCCGCGUGCGGGAUGACGGCCUUCGGGUUGUAAACCGCUUUCGCCUGUGACGAAGCGUGAGUGACGGUAAUGGGUAAAGAAGCACCGGCUAACUACGUG
rnacentral:rRNA from 1 species